GACGAACGCUGGCGGCGUGCUUAACACAUGCAAGUCGAACGGAAAGGCCCUGCUUUUGUGGGGUGCUCGAGUGGCGAACGGGUGAGUAACACGUGAGUAACCUGCCCUUGACUUUGGGAAACUUCAGGAAACUGGGGCUAAUACCGGAUAGGAGCUCCUGCUGCAUGGUGGGGGUUGGAAAGUUUCGGCGGUUGGGGAUGGACUCGCGGCUUAUCAGCUUGUUGGUGGGGUAGUGGCUUACCAAGGCUUUGACGGGUAGCCGGCCUGAGAGGGUGACCGGCCACAUUGGGACUGAGAUACGGCCCAGACUCCUACGGGAGGCAACAGUGGGGAAUAUUGCACAAUGGGCGGAAGCCUGAUGCAGCAACGCCGCGUGCGGGAUGACGGCCUUCGGGUUGUAAACCGCUUUCGCCUGUGACGAAGCGUGAGUGACGGUAAUGGGUAAGAAGCACCGGCUAACUACGUG
rnacentral:rRNA from 1 species